AAUUCGGCUUAGAGUUUGAUCCUGGCUCAGAACGAACGCUGGCGGCAGGCUUAACACAUGCAAGUCGAGCGCCCCGCAAGGGGAGCGGCAGACGGGUGAGUAACGCGUGGGAAUCUACCCUGAUCUGCGGGAUAGCUCCGGGAAACUGGAAUUAAUACCGCAUGUGCCCUGAGGGGCAAAGAUUUAUCGGAUUGGGAUGAGCCCGCGUCGGAUUAGCUAGUUGGUGGGGUAAAGGCCUACCAAGGCGACGAUCCGUAGCUGGUCUAAGAGGAUGAUCAGCCACAUUGGGACUGAGACACGGCCCAAACUCCUACGGGAGGCAGCAGUAGGGAAUAUUGGACAAUGGGCGCAAGCCUGAUCCAGCCAUGCCGCGUGAGUGAUGAAGGCCCUAGGGUUGUAAAGCUCUUUCACCGGGGACGAUAAUGACGGUACCCGGAGAAGAAGCCCCGGC
rnacentral:rRNA from 1 species